UACAGUGGUUCAGGUGAGAGCUGGGUGCAGAUCCAGACCGGGGCUGAGACAUGAACGCAAUGGUUGAAAGCAAGUCGGGUAGAUUCCAGGAGAGCAGUCUGAGAAAAAGUGCUGGAGUAAGGCGUUAAUGGAAAGAGAAUCUGGCAAAGAGUGAGUGGAAUGAAGCUGCAUACAUAGUGGCUUGAUUGAAGAUAAUGAGCAAGUGAUAGAAGCACCUGCUCAUCUUCUGCUUCCCAGCAGGUGGAAGGAGGGGGAGGAGGUGGUGCAGUAGGGAGCAAAGGACUGGUAUGGACCGGUUUAAUCUUUGAGACAUGGAAGGUAGGGUGAACCCUCAUGGAAUGCAGGGGCUUUCACCAGACUGCCACUGAAAUGAUGACUCUCUGAAUGGUGAAAGGCCAGAUGAACUUUGGUGCCAUCUUUUUGGACUCCACCCGAAGUGGGUGGUUGGCUAAGCUGGGAAUCUUGCUGGAAAGAGUGUGGCAGAACGUCAGCCUGCCUGGAUCUUCCCCCUUACAGCUGACUGAGAUCUGGAAAUCAGGAGGCUGGUUUAUUAAGCUGCAGGGUGCAGCAGUUCCUUGCCAGAUCGUCUUCUCUCCUACACUGCUUGGGACAGCUCCCGGGAAUCUGCUGCCUGCCUGUUGCUGUGGAGCGCUUUGCUUUGCUUGCCAUUAUCUGCCCACACCCAUCUACACCUUCUUCUUCCUGCCUUCGUCUGUCAUGUCCUGCCUCCACUUCCUGGAUGGAUAGUGCUUGCUUUUUUCACCUGCUGGUUGGCCACUUAUCCCUCUGCGAUGGAUCCUCUAAGACCAAAGCAGAACCGAACCAUGUAGUGAUCACCUCCACCUCCACCCCUUUGCUGUGCCUGCCAGCUGGGUCAAAAUAAAUGUUCAUCUAGCGCUA